rnacentral:rRNA from 1 species
GACGAAUGCUGGCGGCGUGCUUAACACAUGCAAGUCGAACGGAAAGGCCCUGCUUUUGUGGGGUGCUCGAGUGGCGAACGGGUGAGUAACACGUGAGUAACCUUCCCUUGACUGUGGGAUAACUUCAGGAAACUGGGGCUAAUACCGGAUAGGAGCUCCUGCUGCAUGGUGGGGGUUGGAAAGUUUCGGCGGUUGGGUAUGGACUCGCGGCUUAUCAGCUUGUUGGUGGGGUAGUGGUUUACCAAGGCUUUGACGGGUAGUCGGCCUGAGAGGGUGACCGGCCACAUUGGGACUGAGGUACGGCCCAGACUCCUACGGGAGGCAGCAGUGGGGAAUAUUGCACAAUGGGCGGAAGCCUGAUGCAGCAACGCCGCGUGCGGGAUGACGGCCUUCGGGUUGUAAACCGCUUUCGCCUGUGACGAAGCGUGAGUGACGGUAAUGGGUAAAGAAGCACCGGCUAACUACGUG